ACUUGUGUAGUAAAAAAAAUACAUUGAUAUUAAAAAUCAAAAAUAAAGUUUAUCUUUUUCAAGUA